AAUCAACGCUGGCGGCGUGCCUAACACAUGCAAGUCGAACGCGAAAGCCCCGCAAGGGGUCAGUAGAGUGGCAAACGGGUGAGUAACACGUGGGUGACCUGCCUUCGAGUGGGGGAUAAC
rnacentral:rRNA from 1 species